rnacentral:sRNA from 1 species
AUGAAAUACACCUUUUCAUAAUAUUUAAAUUGUGCUAUAUAAAGAAGAAUUAUUAUCAAAUAAUAGCAUUAUAUAAGAUAGUAUUAAGCAAGGAGCACUGUGGAAAGGAAAUUGUCAAACUCUGAAGCUCCAGCUCCAAAACAGAGAAAAAUAUACUGUUUUUCUUUCAUUUUUCACACCCUCGAUGGGCUAAGAUAUAACAACUAUUUUCUUUUGGAUCGCAUAAAACAACAACAGCUUCCUUGACCAUCAUAUAAAGACAUUUAACGAAGUG